AUGGGAGCUUGCUCCCUGAAGUCCAGCGGCGGACGGGUGAGUAACACGUGGGUAACCUGCCUGUAAGACUGGGAUAACUCCGGGAAACCGGGGCUAAUACCGGAUAGUUCUUUUCCUCGCAUGAGGAAAAGUGGAAAGGCGGCUUCGGCUGCCACUUACAGAUGGACCCGCGGCGCAUUAGCUAGUUGGUGAGGUAACGGCUCACCAAGGCAACGAUGCGUAGCCGACCUGAGAGGGUGAUCGGCCACACUGGGACUGAGACACGGCCCAGACUCCUACGGGAGGCAGCAGUAGGGAAUCUUCCGCAAUGGACGAAAGUCUGACGGAGCAACGCCGCGUGAGUGAUGAAGGUUUUCGGAUCGUAAAGCUCUGUUGUUAGGGAAGAACAAGUGCCGUUCGAAUAGGGCGGCACCUUGACGGUACCUAACCAGAAAGCCACGGCUAACUACGUGCCAGCAGCCGCGGUAAUACGUAGGUGGCAAGCGUUGUCCGGAAUUAUUGGGCGUAAAGCGCGCGCAGGCGGUCUCUUAAGUCUGAUGUGAAAGCCCACGGCUCAACCGUGGAGGGUCAUUGGAAACUGGGGGACUUGAGUACAGAAGAGGAAAGU
rnacentral:rRNA from 1 species